CUCAGAAUUCAGAAACUCUCCUGCCAUUCUUCUUCCUCUUUGAACUCUUGUGAUUCUUCUUCCUCUUUGAACUCCUGCGAUUCUUCUUCCUCAUACCUCAAACAUUCUUCGAUUCUUCUUCCUCCGAGCUCGGGACAAAGUUUUUUCCAGCAAAUCCAGGCAAAGUCCAAAUAGAGUUGUGAAUAUGAAGACUGUGAGGAGUGAGUUGAUUAUCUUCUAUUCAUUAUCCGUGAUGUCAAUAUGAACCCGAACCCAGAUGAAGUUGCUGAUAUCAAAUAUGUCAUUGUUGAUUAUCUUCUAUUCAGACUUGUCGUCGACAAUAUUUUGUUCAAGUGGUGGGACCAUGUUGAGAAGGGGACUCUCCAGAGAGUUGCUAAUAUGAAAACCAUUCACAAGUUGACUUAAAAGGAGCCAAGCUUUUAAUAUGGUUGAACUAAAAUACAUUCUUAUUCCUUUAAAUUGAUAAAUU